UCAUUUGGAGUGUUCCUGACGGUGUCCGC
rnacentral:sRNA from 1 species